CAGUUUUCCCUUAAUGAAAUGACAAUCAACUUUAACAUGCCUAGUUUAGUCAUGUUAACUAGAUUGUGAGCUAUAUCGAUAUCCAACUUCUUGUUACCGUAGAACUUCAUAAGGUCUUCCCAACUUAUUAUAAGAUCACUACAAAUAAUUUUAUCUAGAGAAGCUCACAUAGCCUAUGCGCCAUGGCUUGAAAUUCUACUUUGUAACUUCGCUUAAUAGCCACAUACUAUUUCUUACUCCUCCAAGUUAUUGAAUUCCCUUCUAAGCACGUAAAGUAAUCAUAUGUUGAGAUCUUGUCAAUGAUUAAUUUUACCUAAUCAACAUUGAUAUAAACCAUAAGUGUCAUCUUCAUAGUUUUCGAAAAAAAAUACCACUUCCAAAAGUUAACUUCAAGUAACUAAGUAAUCAAGUAACCACCUUCACGUGUACCUUCGUAGGAUUGUGCAUAAAUGACUCACCACACUCACAACAUAUGUUAUAUCAGGUGUAGUAUGUGGUAGGUAACUUAACUUAUCUACCAAUCUUUGAUACCUUUUUUUCUCUACUGGAGGAAUCUUAGAAUCCUUCAUCAAGCUUGUGACCAGCCUCAAUUGGUGUAUCUACCUACCUACACCUACUAGUCUUGUUUCUCUCAGGAUAUCUGAAAUAUACUUCUAUUGUGAAAUCACAAUUCCUUCAUUUAAUUGAGCAACUUUAAUACUUAGAAAGUAUUUAAAUCUUUCUAGGUCUUUAAUUUGAAACUCUUUUUUCAACUUCUCUUUUAAUUUUCCUAUUUCUUCUAAAUCAUCUCCUGUCACAACAAUAUCAUCAAUGUACACAAUGAGAGUAGUUAUUUUUCCAUUCACAAAGUAUUUAGCAAACAAUAUGUGAUCUCAUUGGCUCUGGAUAAAAUUCAAGCUCUUCAUUGUCUUAAAAAAAACCUUCCAAACCGAACUCGAGAGAUUAGUUAAGCCCAUAUAGAGCCUUCUUCAAUCGACAGACCUUGUUUCCCUAAACAUUUUCUUCUAUACCAGGUGGUUUCUCCAUAAAAACCUUCUUUAAAUUCUCAUGAAGGAAUACAUCUUUACAUCAAACUAUUGCAAAGGCCAAUCAAAGUUAGUAACAAGGGACAACAACAACAAAUAGCACUCAUCUUUGCCACCAAAGCAAAGGUUUCUUCAUAAUCUAUCACAUAAGAUGAAUAUAUCCCUUAACUACCAUUCUUACCUAAUCCUACUCAAGUGUCUCAUUUGGAACCUGAUCCAUUCAUGAAACGGUUACCACAUUGUCAUAAUAAAGGUAUUCCUAAACCCACAUAUGAACCUGAAUUGUCUACCAAAGUCAAAUAUCUCAUAAGCAACUAUGUGUCUAACCAUCGUUUGCCUAAAUCAAAUAAGUCAUUUGUAAAUCAAUUAUCUACUAUAGCUAUUCCUAAGAGUGUGCAGGAAGCCUUAGCUGAUCCAAGGUGGAAAGCAGCCAUGAAUGAAGAGAUGAAAUCAUUGCAGAAGAAUGAAACAUGGGAACUCGUAGAAUGUCCACCAGGAAAGAAGCCAGUUGGGUGUCGUUGGAUCUAUUCUGUGAAGUAUAAGGCAGAUGGUAGUAUUGAAUGAUUUAAAGCAAGACUGGUAGCAAAAGGGUACACUCAAACUUAUGGAAUUGACUACAUAGAGACAUUUGCACCUGUAGCUAAAAUCAACAGUAGUCUUUAGCUGCAAACCUAGAUUGGCCAUUACAACAGUUCGAUGUGAAAAAUGUCUUUCUGCAUGGCGAGUUAUCUGAAGAAGUAUAUAUGGAUCUUUCACCAGGAUGCAUGGUGUCAGAAAAGCAAUGUCAGAAGGUGUGCAAAUUGAAGAAGUCAUUGUAUGGGUUGAAGCAAUCCCCGAAAGCAUGGUUUGGAAGGUUCACAAAAUCAAUGAGAGCUUUUGGCUAUCGUCAAAGUAAUUCAGAUCACACUUUGUUCUUGAAAAAGCAACAUGGUAAGAUUACGGCACUUAUCGUAUAUGUGGAUGACAUGGUAGUUGUGGGAAAUGAUCAUGAAGAAAGAAAAGCUUUGCAAAAUUAUCUAUUUAGAGAAUUCGAAAUGAAAGAUCUAGGUCCUCUGAAAUACUUUCUUGGGAUUGAAGUCUCUCGAUCAAGUGAAGGAAUUUUUGUCUCAAAGAAAGUAUGCCUUAGAUCUUUUACAAGAGACUGGAAUGUCGGGAUGUCAACCUGUUAAUACACCAAUAGUAGAAGGUCUGAAAUUGUGUGUUGAGUCUAAUCAAGUAUCAACUGAUAAGGGAAGAUACUAGAGACUUGUGGGGAGAUUAAUGUACUUAGCUCAUACAAGACCAGAUCUUGCUUAUGCAUUGAGUGUAGUGAGUCAAUACAUGCAUAAUCCUGGAGAGCAACAUAUGAAUGCAGUCAUGCGUAUUUUGAGGUAUUUGAAGAAUGCUCUUGGGAAGGGAAUUUUGUUCGCUAAAAAUGUUAAUCAUCAGAGUAUAGAAGUAUAUAUUGAUGCUGAUUGGGCCGGUGCAGUGGAUGAUAUGCGAUCUACAUCUGGUUACUUUACCUUUGUAGGUGGUAAUAUUGUGACAUGGAAAAGUAAGAAGCAGAAUGUCGUCGCUUGUUCAAGUGCAGAAGUGGAAUUUAGAGGUAUGACUCUAGGACUUUGUGAGGCAUUAUGGCUAAGACUCCUCUUACAGGAUUUAGGUUACCUAUCUAGGCAACCAAUCCGAUUGUUUUGUGACAAUAAAGUCGCAUGUGACAUUGCUCAUAAUCCAAUACAACAUGAUUGUACAAAGCAUGUCGAGGUGGAUAGAUUUUUCAUUAAGAAAAAGUUGGAUGAUAAGAUUGUGGAAUUGCCUAAGAUUCGAUCAAAAAAUCAAUUGGUCAAUAUCCUCACCAAAGCUGUCUCAAGUCAAUUGUUCUCAAAAUUUUCAGACAAGUUGGGCAUGUGUGACAUCUAUGCACUAACUUGAGGGAGAGUGUUGAGAUAUUAUGAAUGUUUUCCUUAUAUCAUUCUUUCCUUAUAUCAUUUAGUGUUGAGAUAUUAGGAAUGUUUAGAUAUUAGGAAAGUUGAGAUAUUAGGAAUAUUGAGAUAUUAUGAAAGUUGAGAAAUUAGGAUAUUAGUUGUUAUUUCCUUAUAUCAUUCUUUCCUUGUAUCAUUCUUUCCCAUUCUUAGAAUGGUGAUUACCUUCUAUAUAUACUCUAUACAUGAAUGAAUGAAAGAAUAAAUGAAAAACUACCAUUUAUCAAUUUGAAAAUUACUAUAAACACCCACUUACACCUAACUUGUUUAUUUCAAGUAAGUAGAUCCACAAUUUCCAAACUAUUUUUUUUUUCCAAUGCACUUAUCUCCUCUUGCAUUGUCUUCCUCCCCUUCUCAUCCUCUUUAGUACCUCUUGAAUAGUUUUAGAUAUGUUGAAGGAGAUAAAUUUAGUAACAAAUUCAUUGUGAGAUGCAAAAAUGAUAUCAAAAUAAACAAAUUUUAUCAAAAGGUGUUGAAUUCAAUGUUUUUUUCCUUUUCUAACAGCAAUAGGUAAAUUAAGAUCAUCAAACACAUUGGAACUAUACUUAAGUUGAAUUUCAAUACCUUCUUCCAAGUUGAUAAUUGGAGCAGCAUUCAAAGGUUCAAGAGCAAACUAUAUAAUGGGGGCCACAUAUACUCCCAAAAGCAUAAACUAAUAGGGAAUAAAGGUAGCCCUGCAUAUAAGGCCUAACCAACGUCGGUAAUCAACUAAUGUGGGACAUUGAACUUCUAUUCGUCCUAUGUCAGACACUCCCACCCAAUUGUUAACAUCCACAUCAAUGAGCACAAGGUGAGUUAGGACAAACCUCACUCUUAUACCAUGAGCUUUGGAGAAUCAGAAUUCAUUAAUUCUAAGAAUUGAGAAAUUACAUAUAAAAACAUAAAGACAAUCUCAUAAAAUACUCAACAACCUAACAAACCCAAAACUAACCGGAUUUGAUGAAAUAGAACAAUUAGAAAAAUAAAACCUAAAUCUUAUCCCUAAAAAAUAGGAAUUCGAAUUUCUUUCCCAACUAACUCUUAAAUCUUUGAUUCUUAACUAACUCCUAAAUUUUAGACACUCUUCCUUAAGUUGGUGCAUAGAUGUCUAUCAUUCCCAAUUUGUUGACAAAAAACUCGAAGUUAGACCUUAGGAGACCCUUGGUUAGGAUGUUUGUUAUAUGUUGCAUUGUAGAAAAAAAAAACAUAUUUCACCAACCUCAAGUUUUUCCUUCAUGAAAUGUCUAUCAAUCUCAAUAUGCUUUAUCUUGUCAUGUUGUAUUGUAUUGUGUGCAAUAUUGAUGGCUAUUUUGUUGUCACAAUACAAUUUCAUAAGAAGAAUAUUGAGUCUCCUUAGUUAUUUUAGGACACGUUUCAACCAUAACAUCUCACAAAUUCCAUGUGCUAUGGCUUUGAACUUUGCUUCAACACUGCUUCAUGCCACCACACUUUGCCUCUUGCUUUUCCAAGUAACCAGAUUACACCAUACAAACAUAUAGCACACAAAGGUAGAUCUUCUAUCAAUGAUUGAUUUUGCCUAAUUAGCAUUAGUGUACACCUCAACUCUCUGCUCAUUCUUUUUUAAAAAUAAUCCUUUUCCUGGAGUACUUUUCAAGUACCUUAUAAUCUUAUAGAUAGUUUUAAGGUGUUCUUCGUGUGGAGAGUGCAUGAAUUGACUUACCAAUCUCAUUGCAACAACAAUGUUUGGUCGAGUGUGUGAUAGGUAUAUCAAUUUGUCAACCAACUUCUAAUAUCAUGUUGUAUCUACAAGUGUCUCUCUGUCAUUUUUUUUCUUAGCUUCAAGUUGUAUUCUAUAAGAAUGUCAGUCGGUCUACGACCACUCAUACUUGUUUUUUUUUUAAGAUCAAGAAUGUACUUUCUUUGUGAAACGACGAUGCCUUUCUUGGAAUGUGCAACUUCCAUUCCAAGAAAGUACCUCAAUGACCCCCAAGUCCUUAAUCUCAAAUUCAAAAUCUAGAAUCAUCUUUAACAUUUUUGUCUCAAGCAAGUCAUUUUCAAUGAGAAUAAUAUCGUCCACAUGGGCAAUUAACAUAGUUAUCUUCCCUUCAAGUGAGAACUUCAUAAAUAAGACAUGAUCAGUUUGUCCCUCAAUAUAUCCUUGUUUCUUUACAGAUUGAGUGAAUUUAUCAAACCAUGCCCUAAAAAAUUGUUUAAGUCCAUAUAAUGACCUUUUUAGCUUGCAAAACUUUGAUCAAAAUCUUUUGGUAAAGCUAAAAAAAUAGUCCAUAUAAACUUCUUCUUCCAAAUCCCUAUUGAGAAGUGCAUUUUUCACAUCCAACUAUUACACCGUCAAUCCAAAUUUGCAACAAUUGAUAAGAGCACGACCAUUGUGUUUAGCUUGGCUACUGAAGUGAAUGUUUCUAAAUAGUCAAUAUCAUACUUCUAAGUGAAUUCCUUUGCUACUAGUUAAGCUUCAUAUUUUUCUAAAGAGUUGUCAAAGUUUUAUUUCAUUGUAAAGACCCAUUUGUAGCUAAUCAUGGACUUUUCUUCAAGCAAACUCAUUACUUCCUAAGUCUUAUUCUUUUCAAAAACUCUCAUCUCUUCAAGAACAACUUCCUUCCAUUCAGAAACAUUAAGAGCAUCCUGUAUAUUUUUAGGAAUGUCUAUUCUAGAAAGUUGUGAAGUAAAUGCAAGAAGAGAAUGAGACAAUUUUUCAUUGGACACAAAGUUAGACAAAGGAUAUUUAGUGCAUUGUCUAGUACCUUUACUACAAGCAACUAGAACAUCUAAAUUAUUAAUAGACUCAAUUUAGGAAUUAGAAUAAUUGGACUAGACACGAAUUUACCUCAAUGAUUGACGAAAAUCAAAUAUGUUCUCGAGAUAGGCUCUUGGGGCUACUACAAAGUGGACUUUUUUUUUUUUACUUUGUUCAAGGUUCUUCCUUGAAUAGACAAUGAACUCAUUUGCCUUGUUUUUUUGGUUUCUCACAUAUUUCAAGUUCUAUGUGAUUUUUUAAGGGCAUAAUAAUCCAUUAUCCAUUCAUUUUAGUAGUUAACCUAUUUACUUCCAGGGUUAUCCUGGGCAUUCUUGAAGUAAGGUUUAAGUUAGGCGUGAGUAUUUCUGAAAUAGGAGUUGCCACGAGUAUUGGUGCUUUUAAAGGUGAUUGAGCAGAUUUUUUUUUUAAAAAAUUUAGGAUAAGCAUCACAAAAGGUGUUUCUAUGUGGAAAUUAGUAAAGAAAGAAUCUUCAUUGUAACUCUCUCCCUCAAGAUGAUGAUUAAAACCUUUUCUUUUUUUUUUUUGUUUAAAAAAAUGUGACAUCCAUGGUAACAAACAUUUAAAAAAAAAAUUGGAUCAGAACAAUCGUAUCAUUUUUUUUGUUGGAGAAUAACCAACAAAAAUGCAUUUUUUAACUCUUGAAUCUAGUUUUCCCCAAUUAUGAUUGUGAAUGUGGACAAAUGCAACACAACAAAAAAUUUUAAAAGGAAUAUGACCAAAAUUCUUGAUGAGGGAAAACACUUUUUGGAAAAAUAUGAAGGUGUUUGAAACUAAAAAGCCCUUGAUGGUGUUUGAUUGAUCAAAUAGGUGGUUGUAAUAAUAGUCUCCCCCUAUAAAUAUUUAAGGACCUUAGUUGUAAAGAUUAAAGAUCUAGCAAUAUCAAGAAGGUGUUUUUUUUUUUUCCCUUUCAGCCACCCUUUUGUUUAUUAGGAGUAUCAUUUGCACAAUACCAUUUUUCUCUAAGUAUUUCCCUAGGAUUUGAUUAAAAUAUUCCUUCCCAUUGUGACUUCAAAAAAUUUAAAUGUUUGUUUGAAACUGAGUUUAUACCAUGUUGUGAAAAAAAUUGAAAACCUAUUUAGGCUUUCCUUUUAGUAAAUGUAUCCAAGGCAUGUGAGUAUGAUCAUCAAUGAAAGUGAUAAACUAUCUUUUUUCUAAGUGUGGAAAUCUUAGAUUGACCCCAAACAUCACUAUGAAUCAUAGAAAAAGGUUUUGAUGUUUUAUAUGGUUGUGAAGGGAAUAAGUUAUAGUGGUGUUUUGCUAACUCACAAAUUUCACAUUAAAAUGAAGAUGGACUUUUAUUAAUGAAAAGUUUUGGAAAAGAAUAUUUUGAAUGCUAAAAGCUUGGAUGUCUUAACCUAAAAUUUCAUAAUAGAAUUUCAUUAUUCCUAAUACCAGAAAUAGACUUGAAGCAAGUACUUUGAGGUUAUCCCUUCAAGUUAGAUCCAUCUUUAAAGAAGUAAAGUCUUUCACUUUGUUUAGCCCUGUCAAUCAUGUUCCCUAAGUACAAAUCUUGAAAUUCACAUUGAGAAUGGGAGAAAUUAACUUGACAAUUUUGAUCAUGAAUUAGUUCAUUGACAUACAAAAGAUAAUAUGACCAAUUAGAAACAUGAACAACAUUAUGAAGAGUAAGAGAGAAAAAAAGAACUAUGAAUUCUUUUCCCAUAAUAGGCAAAAGGGAUCCUUAAGCUAUUUUAAUUUUUUAAUUCUUUGCACAAGUUUUGUAAAAAGAAAAUAGAUUGGAAGAUUUGGUCAUGUGAUUAAUUUCACUAGUAUCGAUGAUCCAAGGAUGACUAGAAGUGUAAUUAACACUAACAAGAACGACUAUGAGGUAAUUACUUUUUUAUGCUAAUAAACAUGAGGGAGACAAGUUAGAGUUUACAAUGAAAGGGGCAGAUUGAAGCAACUUAUACAGGCGUUCUAGUUGAUCCUUAAUGAAAGAAAGCAUUUCUAAAGUAGCUUGUUGCCUUUGAUCAGUAUUGGAAACCUGGAAAGCUCUAUCAUCUUCACUUGUCUUCUUUUUCCAAUUUUGAGGCUUCCCGUGCAAUUUCCAGGUCUCACAAGUAUACAAGCGUUUUUGUAGUGACUGUACUAAGGCUUCUUUUUUUCUUCAUCAAUCUCUAUCUUAGUUAAGUCUCUUCAAUACAAGAGAAGAACCUUCUAUAUCAAUAUUUAGUCAUUGUUCUCCAUUUAGCAUCACAUUUCGUUGAGUCUUCUCUUUUCAUACCUUAAAGAAAACUUCUUUGAUGGAUGACAAUGGUUUUCUACCUAGAAUCUAGCCUUUAAACUUGUCCAAAUCCUUGUUAAGUAUCACAGAACAUGCAUAAACUCUGUCAUUUUCCAUUUGCUUCAUAUAUUUCAUAUUGUCACUAGGACAAUCCCAUUUCUCAUCAUAAUAUAAAUCCAACUCUUGCCACAGAGUCAUGAUCUCAUUGUAAUAAAUGAUCACCUCUCGGUCUCCUUAUUUGGAUUGGCAUAGCUUCAUCUUUAACUCAAAUAUUUGGGAAGAAUUUUCCAAAUUUGAAUAGGUGUCACAAAUGGCAUCUCAAACUUCUUUGGUUGUCAAUAAGAACUAUUAGGACAUUGAGUCUUGUUUAUAUGUUGGCAAUUUUGUUCCAAUUUAUGUAUGGUCAUAGAAGUCUUUCUAGAUAGUGACUUAGUUUCCAUUGAAGGUCAAGGGUUGUUGUUUGUCCAAUCAGUGACUCAUAGAUAUGUCUAAAAAGAUUUGGCUUGUAGCAUAUAAAAGCUUAUUUGAGGUACAAAAGUUUUGGUAUCAUUUUUGAGUUUAAAAUGUUUUUAAAAAUGAUUUUUCAAAAAGAAAUGGAUGCUUAAGUGGUAUAAGUCCUUUUAAGCCGUCAUAACAGUUCUGCCGAGUUUAGAAAUGUAUUUUGAAUGAAUUUAAAUCCAACUCUAAUUUUGAAACUUAAAAUACUGAAAUUCCUAUGGUUUUUGCCUAUAAAUACCUCUCUUGUAACUCUUUGAGGAUUAGAGAUCAAGAUCAGUAAAAUCAUAGAGAUCUUAGAGUUUGUUAGAGACCUCUCAUUCUUUAGAGGUACUCUUUGAAGAAAAAUCCUAAUUUGUCAUAUUAUUCUCGUUCUUUCAUUCAAUGAUUCAAUUCUUUGAAUUUUUGGUUGAAGACCGUAAUCCAUUCGGAGGGAUUGAAGGAUCUAUUAGGGAGCAACAGGUAGUUGUUGUGUCGCGUACAUAAAUCAAGUUGUAGGUACUAAAGAGUAAGUCUUUAGGAUAAAACGGUCAAAUGAAUCUCUGUGACUUGAUUUCAAAUAGUGGAUUUCGAUUAAUAGGUCUUAGACCUUGUGGUUUUUUAUCUUCACAGUUUAUAAGGGUUUUCCACGUAAAAAUUUUGUGCCUCAUUAUCUAUCUCUUUAUAUUUGAUAUUACGUUUGAAUUGUCUAGAAUAAGUUAAUUUGUUUUAACAUAAUAUCUUGCAAGGUUAUUCUAAGAAGUUUAUAUUUAUUCUUGCAUAUAUUCUGGUUGAAGAUAUUGAAUAUAUUGGAUUGAUUGGUUAAUUGGUUGUUGAGUUUGUUGGGUUGGUUUUUCUCGUGGUUAUUAUUAUCUCUAACGUUUUUCAACAUAUAUUGUUAAUCUUUAGAUAUCAAUUAACCAUAAAAAUCAUAUUUUUAUUGGGAUGAAAUCCUUUUAGAAUAUCUAGAUUAUCCCUAUAAUAUCUUAGGAUAAGAAAAAGUAAUUAUAAUUCAUAAAUAUUAAAUUAAUUUUUUAAAUCACUCAUUCACCCCCCUUUGGGUGUUCCCUAUUGGACUUUCAGUUAUUCAAGGGGUAUUCAGAGGAAUACCCAUAUUUUUUCAAGUACAUAUAAGGUUUCCUAAUUGUUAUUUCCAUAGAAUUGAUGAGCCAAGUAAUCACCUUGGAAUUUUUUAGACCUCCAAAUUUUCAAAGUCGGAUUGUUUGUUGCUAGUUUCAUUACUUCAUCGGUCAAAUGGCCAAGUUUCCCUUUACAACCAAUCACCAGUUUCACACACUAGGCUUAUUCUAGGUCAUUUUUACAAUUCAAUUUGUGAAUGGUUAAUUGUAGAGAGGAAUUCAAAUUGGUAUAAUCAAAUUGUUAGAAUAGUGUCAAGGAGAUAGUUCGAGUCUUGUCCACAUCUCCUCCUAAAGUGGCCAAGCCUUUAGUGGCUCUAAUCAUGAAGGUUAUUACCAUUUGAAAAUUUUUCGAUCAAGACUCAAAACUCAAGCUUUGAUAACAUGUGAGCUUUUGAUAAUCAAAAUUAAUUGAUUAUGACAAUUGAGAAAUUACAAAUAAAUAAGGAAAGAUAAUCCCGUAAAAAACUCAACAACCUAACAAAUGCAAAACUAAUUGGAUUUGAUGAAAUAGAACAAUAAAAAAAUAAAAAAUAAAUAAAUAACCUAGAUCUAUACAAAAUAGGAAUUCGAAUUUCUUUUUGAACAAACUCCUAAAUCUCUGAUUCCUAACUAACUACUAAAUCUUCGAUACCAAAUUAUGUGGGACCACAUUCCCAAAAGCUUAAGCUAAUGAGGAGUAGAGGUAGCCCAUAUAUAAGGUCCAACCAAUGUUAAUCAGUCGAUGUGAGAUAUUGGACUUUUGUUCGUCCAAUGUCACUAUAAAAGCCCCAACCAACCUUAAAUAGCAUAGCAUAGCAUAUCUUUUCCCUUUUCUCAUUUAUAUGACGAAACUAAGAAUAACAUAUUGCGGAUCCAUGGGUUUACAGUCAGUGGGCUCAAGUAAGCCAUGAGGAUGACUAAAGGAACAACUCAAAAAGCUUGGAACAACAACAGGUACUAGUUCAAAGUAGGGCUUAGAAGCAAUUUUCGGAUAUGAAAUAGACAAACUGGGAUCUUUUGCAAAUAGCUCCCCUUGAAGAUAAGGUUGAGAAAAAAAAUGUUCAUUUUCAUGAAAGGUAACAUCUAUUAAUAAGAAAAUUUUAUUAGAAGUUGAAUGAUACCACUACAUCUCUUUUUGUUUAUUAAGAAUGGCCAACAAAUACACACCUAAGGGCUUUUGUACCAAAUUUUGUUCUUUGGCAAGCAUGAAUAUGAAGAAAUGUUACAAAACAAAAAAUUAUGGAAGGUAUACAACUUGUAGUCAUCAAAUUGGGUAUAUAAAUUACAAAGUUAACUCACAGGUGAUUGGAAGUCAAGAACUCAAAAGAAUAAUUUGUUAAUAAGAUGAAUCGCAGUAAGGACAACUUACCCUCAAUAGGUUUUGGGAAUAUUCAUUUGGAAAAUCAACGUUUUAGUAAUUUCAAACAAAUGUCUAUUUUUUCUCUCAACUAUCCCAUUUUGGUAUGAAGUAUCAUGACAAGAAGCAACAUGUAUGAGAUAUUUUUAUGUGAAGUAUUAUUUGGGAGGACUUCUUAAAUGCUAAAAGCAACAUUUGAAUCCUAAAAGUAACUUUUAAAGAUAUUUCAAUAAAAUUCCUAACCAUAGACUCCAUAUAACCAACGUGAUUAACUUGCAUUUUGAAAAAGCAGGAAACUUCCUACUUUUAAUCAAACAAAAUGUGAGAAAAGGUAUUAGAGUUUAAUGAAAUUCUUGAAAAUGUUAUAGUUGUCCUUUUUUUUAUGAAAGCACAUCUAAAACAUAGUUCUCAUGUGCAAAAUUAGCAAUACAAAAAUAGCUUUGUCUUCUACCUUUUACUAAAAGCUACCCCAAAUGGGCACUAGAUGUUUGCCACUAAGAAGAUAAACAACCAUAGAUCCCACACUACAAGAUAAUAAAAAAAUAUAUACAUCAUCAACAAACUACUUACUAGCCCGACAAAAAGUGUGCUUGUUGGGGCUAGUCAUAAUUAGGGAUUAAAAUUUUAGGAAAUAUAGUCGAUAUUUCAUCAAAAUUUGAAUGUAUCAACUAAUAACGAUACAAAAAUUUGGAAAAAAAAAAUCCUAACGAUUUUCAAAGAAAAUAGGGCAAAAUUAAUUUUCUAUUAAAAUCGCUAAUGGUUAGAAAUUUUAUAUGAAGGCCAAAAUUGCUCUUAGAGGCGAUUUAACAACUAUGAACGUUCCUCAAUGACUAUUUACUGAUCUAAUGGCCAUAUUUCAAUCUAGAUACAAUUCAAAGGUUGGAAAUGUUUUCUAAUAGUUAUUUGGCAUCCCAACGACUAAUUUGGUCUAAAAUUUUCCUAUAAAUACCUCAGUUUUAUCUCAUUUCAUCCACAAUUCAUUUGAAAUCCUUUUUACUCUCACAUUGCUCCAAAUUCUUAUGUGAUUACUCAUAAAAUAAAUUUUAUAAUUUUGGGAAUUUUGUUGAAAUUGUAAAUUAACUAUAACCAAGGUUAAAAAAAUCAGGAUAUAUCCUCGAUAUUAGGAUAUUGGUGGAUCCUGACACGAAAUAUGGGAAAAUAUAUCGAUAUUUUCAAUUUUUUUUUUCACAUUUAUUGGGAUUUUUUUUCCUAUUUCCACCAAAUUUUUACCAAGUUAUCAAGAUUUUCCCAAUUUUUUUAUAGGUCAAAGCAAGAUUUGGUCAAAAUGAACCUUUAUGCCACUAGGGCAAACAUGCCUUUAUUGAAGAUGAUGGCCCACAUCUUAUAUAUUUUAUGUUUACACCUAAAUUUUAUAUAUAUUUAAAAAAAUGAAAUAUUAAAAUAAAUUUGUAAUAAAUUUAUUAAUUUUAAUUAUUUCUUUUUAAAUUCCAUUUAACUUAUUAUUGAAUGCACAAAAAUCACGAGUUAAAUACAAAAAUAUAUAAUUUGUAAAUAAAAUUAAAAAUAUUUUUAGAAAUAUUUUUCAAAAAGUUAGAAAUAAUUUUAGCAUAUUUGUAUAUAUAAAUUUAAUAAAACUAUAUUUUUUAGGAACAACUCAAGAAGACAUAAAGGAACUCACAAUAUAUCUCCAUCAAUUAGAACAAUUGAAAUUAUGUAACCUUUCGUAUAUAAAAGAAUAUGAACAAAAAUUUAGAAAAUAUGCAAUCCUUGUUAGAGUAGAUAGAACCCCUGAAUAUUUAAAUAAAUAUAUAUUAAAAAUACAAGGACCUAUAGGACUUAGAUUAUGGAAUAAAUUUUCAACAUUUGAAUAUAAAAACUCUCCUUAUAUAGGUGCUAGAAUAGAAUUUGUAAAAAAUUGGUUAGAAAGAGAAUGUGUAAGUAUAGGAGAAAGAAGUCAAAUAAAGAAACAAGAUAUAAAUCAACUUUGUAGAAAAUUACAUAUAGGAGAAAAUCUAGAUAUAGGAUGUAGAGAAUAUAAGUUCAAAAAACCUAAGAACUACAAUAAAUUUUUAAGAAAGUCAAAAACCUUUUCUAAAAAACGACCUUAUCAAACAAGAUAAAAAAACCUGAAAAGUUUUGGAUAAAAAGAAAAAGAACUAAGAAAAUAAAAAGACAGUGUAAAUGUUAUUUGUAUGGUUAAGAAGGUCAUAUAAGACCUGAAUGUCCUGAACUUAAAAAACCAUGAAAUGAACGAAGUAUAAAAACCCAAGCAAAAAUCAACCUAAUAAAUGAGUAUCAGGUAGAUAGUGAAGAAGAAGAACUCAUUAGUGAAUUAGAUUUUAAAAGUGAAAAUUCAAGUGUAUAUAGUAUAGAUGAUAGUGAAACUAAAAGAGAAAAAAAUUGUAUGAUUAUUGAAAAAAAAAAUCAACCUAAGAAAACUUCUUGAAAUUUAGAAAAACUUGUACAACCUUUAGAAAGUAAAAUAAAUCCUUAUAAUUUGUGGAAAGAUUUACAAAUAAUAAUUAAUGAAAAAUCUCAAAAGAAGAGAAAGACAAUUCAAACUCUAAAGAAAUUUUUUUUAAAAAAAAAAAACAAUAAGUCAUGUAAAAACAACUAUACAAACAAUAGGACAAGUAAAUACGGCAAAUAAAGUUAAAUCUAUCAUUUUCCCAACAACAAUUAAAUUAAAAACCAUAGAAUCAAAUGUAAAUGCAAUGUUAGAUACUAGAGUCAGUAAAAACCUUUUAUUUGAAACUUUAGUAUCUCAGGAAGACCAAUAAACACUAUUCAACCAAUAGAAUUAGUCCAAUAUAAUCAACAAAAACUAAUAUUAACCAAGUAUAUUUCAAAUGUACCAAUCAUAAUUAACAACAUAACCUUAGUGUUACCUCAAACUUAUCUUGUAGCUACUAUAAGUUAUAUCCUUUCAUUUUAGGUUUAAAUUUUUUACAUUCUUUACAAGGAGAGAUAACAAUACAAAAUAACCAAGUUAGUUUUCAUCCUAAAACCAAUACAAAAUUAUGAUAUGAAUCGGUCAUUUCCAUAUAAACCUAGUUUUUGUUGGGAAAAUGAUAGAUUUAACUUUAUUUGUUGUAUUUACUUGUUCUAUUGUUUGUUUAGUUGUUUUUACAGGACUUAUUGGUUCUUUUAUUUCUUUAGAGUUUGAAUUGCCUUCCUCUUCUUCCGAGAUUUUUCAUUUAAUUAUUAUUUAUAAAUUUUUCCACAAUAUAAGGAUUUAUUUUACUUUCUAAAGGUAGUACACGUUUUUCUAAAUUUAAAGAAGUUUUCUUAGGUUGAUUUUCCUUUUUUUCAUUAUUCAUACAAAUUUCUUCUCUUUCGGUUUCACUAUCAUCUAUACUAUAUACACUUGAAUUUUCACUUUCAAAAUCUAAUUCACUAAUGAGUUCUUCUUCUUCACUAUCUACCUGAUACUCAUUUAUUAGGUUGAUUUUUGCUUGGGUUUUUCUACUUCGUUCAUUUUUUGGUUUUUUAAGUUUAGGAUAUUCAGGUCUUAUAUGACCUUCCUGACCAUACAAAUAACAUUUACACUACCUUUUUAUUUCCUUAGUUCUUUUUCUUUUUAUCCAAAACUUUCUAGGUUUUUUAUAUCUUGUUUGAUAAGAUCGUUUUUUAAAAAAGAUUUUUGACUUUCUUCUUAAAAAUUUAUUGUAGUUCUUAGGUUUUUUUGAACUUAUAUUCUCUACAUCCUAUGUCUAGUUUUUCUCCUAUAUGUGAUUUUCUACAAAGUUGUUAAUUUACAUUUUGUUUCUUUAUUUGGCUUCUUUAUCCUAUACUUACAAAUUCUCUUUCUAACCAUUUUUUUACAAAUUCUAUUCUUGCACUUAUAUUAGGAGAGUUUUUAUAUUCGGAUGUUGAUUCAUUCCAUAUUCUAAGUCCUACAUGUCAUUGUAUUUUUAAUAUAUAUAUUUAUUUAAAUAUUCAGGGGUCCUAUCUACUCUAGCAAGGAUUGCAUAUUUCCUAAAUUUUUGUUCAUAUUUUUUUAUAUACGAAAGGUUAUAUAAUUUCAUUUGUUCUAACUUAUGGAGAUAUAUAGCAGGUUUCUUUAUAUCUUCUUGAGUUGUUCCUAAAAAAUAUAGUUUUAUUAAAUUUAUGAAUACAAAUAUGCUAAAAUUAUUUCUAACUUCUUGAAAAUAACUAUUGUUUUCUUGUUUCAUGUUUCUAAAGAAUUGUAAUACGAUUCCUCCAAGGGUGCUUUUACAAAAUUCAUAAAUUUCUUGUUGAUUUUCAAAUGAUACUACUACACCAACCGGAUUUAAGGAUUGUUCCCAAUUUUCUAUGGUUUUCUUAUGGUCUUAUGUAUUAUCUAUGUCUAAUAUUGUUCCAUAUUCAUAUAUUGGUUGUAAAGAACUAGAAGGUUCUAUUUUGGUUUUCCAUUGAGGUUUUUUUGGCUUACUGUACGACUUGCUAUACCUUACUAUUUCAAUUUUUACAUUUACAAAUUCCUUUUCUACAUUUAUUGUAUUUACUGACUCAUUUGAAAUUGUUUCUAGGUUUUCUUUAGCUUUUAGUUGAAUAAUAAAUUGAUUUAUUGUUUUUAUAUCUGUAAGUUUUUUUAUCAAAUUUGUUUUAUAUAGUUGUUCAAUUAUUUGUUUGUCUUUAUAGUUUUUACACAUUAUAUCAACAAAGUUUUCUUGAUCCACCUGUUCUUCUAGUAACAUUGGGUUAUUAAAUUCUUCUAACAUUAUAUUAACUAGUUCUGAAUUUUUGUAUAGGUUUUCUACUGUUUCGAUGUUUAAUAAAAUAUCUUAUUGUAUAACAUUUAUAGAUUUUAUCUCACUAUCUGACUCUACCUCUACAUUUACAAUUUUAUAGUUUCCAAAAGUUAUACUUGCACUUCUAUCUUGAUUUUCAUAUAAACUACUAGAUGUUGAAUAUUUUAUUACUGGUUUAUUUAUUUAGGGUAAUUUUCAUUCCCAUCCUAACAAAUAGUCUAUCUUUACAGGUUUUGCUUCUAUCAUAUUUACAGACUUAUUUCCAAAGGUUUUUACUCUAUCAUCAAAUUCCAUCAUACAUUUCAAACUUAGAGCAUUAGUGGUUUUUCCUAUAAAUCCUAUAAUUAUGUUAAGGUUCUUACUUCUUAAUUCCAUAUCAUAACCUUUAGUAUUUACAAUUAUUUUUAUUUUUUUUGUGAAUUCCUCUAGAUCUAUACAAAUUUGAGGUAUACAACCAAGAACUACAUAAUUUUGGUUCAUAUUAACUUUUGUCUUAGCUAAAAGAGCUCAUCUUAGUGUAUUAUUUCUAGUAUUUAAAAGGUUAAUAUUUGUAAGUGCUCCAAUUUUUUUACGAUGGAGUUUUAUUAUUCCUAUUAGAAUUAUUCUUAAAUGCAUAUAUUUAUUGAUUUUAACUUUUAAUAGUUUAUGUUUUGUUUUUUAAGAGACUAGGUCUAAAUAUACAAUAUUUCCUAUUGAACUUAUAAUAUGUUGAUUUAAAAAUCUAGUUAUUUUAGAAUUUUGAACUAAUUGUUUUUUGUAAGGUAUUACUUCCUUUUCUACCCUUUUUAAUUUUUCUUCGACAAAUUCUUUUACAUUAUCUUUAGGAUUUAUAGCUUCUACUAUUUACAUGGUUUUAUUGCUAAACUUUUUUGUUCAAAAUGAUUUAUUUUUCGUUCUGUUCUAAUUACUAAUUUUUCUUCUAAAUUAAAGUUUUCAAAUUAUUUUAAAAGGUUAUUUAAUUUUUGGUUUUUUUUUUGGAAAUCCUAUCUUUCUUUGGUCUAAAAGUUUAUCUACUUUUUGGUUAACAUGUUUCUUUCAAAUUUUGUUGUUGUAACUUUAUUUGUUCUAUUUCUUUUCUAAAUAUAUAUAUAUAUUUAUUAUGUAUUUUUAUUUAUAUUAAAUUUAUUUAAAAAAUAAAUAAAAAUAUGUAGACCGGCCCCAAGGGCGAGUCCAUAGAGCCUCAACGGCUCUAGAAGCGUCGGAAGCUUCUGGAAGCUCCCACACCCCCUUAUUACAACAAUGAAGCCCUAGUUCUCCCAAAUACUAAACACUAUACUCUGUUCGCCUCCUCGGUCCUUAUCCACAAACCACCACCCAAAAACCCUUUCACCACCGAAAGGCCUAAUGGCUUCCGCCAAUGCUAUCUCCACAGCGUCAAUUAUCCGCUCUCCCAAACAGGUAUGUACCCAACUGACUGUUUCUGGGUUUCGGAUUUUCUGUUGGGUUGCUCUGGAAACGGCUGGGAAAUAAGAUAAAAUCAUUUCUUGAGUCAUUUGUUCUCCGUUGUUGAAGAUGUAUAUUUCUCCAAUAGUUUUGUGAGUUGUGUUAUCCGUUUUGGAAGGUUUGGGCAUUUUUGCUUUGUAAUUUCUCUGUAUUGUCAAAAACUUAUCAAAAAAAAAUUCUGUAUUGCCAAAAGGGUUCUAUAGCUCAACCGAAUUCUAGAUGCUCGGGAAAAUUAGGGGAUUCUCUGGAAGAAAUACGGGUAGCAUACACAAAAUUUGUGCAGGGUCUUUGAAUUGUUGUUAUUCCCAAAAUAUUCGUUUCUUCAUUGGGUUUAAUCUCAAAAUUAUCAGAUGAUUGAUAGUAUUCUCAUUAUUGCUAUUAUAUUGACGCAGGAGAGCUUCAGAAGGAGGGUGAACCAACAACAAGGGCCGAAAUUUAAUUACAGGCCAUCAAACAAUCGGUUUGUGGUUCGUGCCUCCGCUAAGGAAAUUGCAUUUGACCAAAGUUCAAGGGCGGCGCUUCAGGCUGGCAUUGAUAAGCUUGCAGAUGCCGUGGGGCUUACUCUUGGUCCUAGAGGUUUCUUUUCUUCUCUCUUCACAAAUCAACGGCAUGUAUAUUGUUGUACUUUGCCUUCUAUUUUGAUGUUUGAAAUAGAUUUGCGAAUUUAUGGUGUGGUUAGGUGCUAUAUGAUUGGAAACCUGAUUGUUGCAAAUGGGAUGUCUUUGUAAAUAGUAAAUUUUUCUUUUGUGAUUUGCGUUUCUGGGUUUCUUUUCUUGAGGUAUUAUAUUGCGAGGAUGGCUUGAUCAUUGUUGUCAUGGAAUUUAGGCUAGGAAAUGUCCCUAUGCUUGUAGCCUGGCUUAGGGAUGAUUGGGAAGAGGUGAUAGGGAUGAAUGCUUGAAUUAACUGAUAAAACUUAUUUUGCAUUUUGAAGGAAGGAAUGUUGUCCUGGAUGAAUUCGGGAGCCCCAAGGUGGUGAAUGAUGGGGUAACAAUUGCCCGAGCUAUUGAGCUAGCUGAUGCUAUGGAAAACGCUGGUGCAGCUCUCAUUAGAGAGGUUAGACCUUUCCUUUUUCUCAGUUUUCCCACUCGAAAAUAGUGGUUAUGUUUUUCUAAUCUUCUAUAACUUGUUGAUGUCAAAUUCUGUUACUUUGGAGUUGAGAUUUGUUUGUUUAUUAAUGUGUUUUAACCUUUUAUAAAGGUUGCAAGUAAAACCAAUGACUCUGCUGGUGAUGGCACAACAACUGCCUCUGUUCUUGCCCGAGAAAUAAUCAAACUGGGCCUGUUGAGUGUUACCUCUGGUGCAAAUCCAGUCUCCAUAAAGAAGGGAAUUGACAAAACAGUACAUGAGUUAGUGAAGGAGCUGGAGAAGAAAGCCCGACCUGUUGAAGGCGGUGACGAUAUCAAAGGUAGUAUGCUAGCUAUGUGUCUUAGGUCAAUUUGCUCCAAUAUUAAAGGACUCUAUUUAUUGAUUCCCUUCAUGGAAUCCAUAACCUUUUUUUUUUUUUGCAUUGCAGCUGUUGCUUCUAUAUCUGCGGGAAACGAUGAGUUCAUUGGGUCCAUGAUCGCAGAUGCAAUUAAUAAGGUUGGGCCUGAUGGUGUUUUGUCCAUUGAGUCAUCAUCCUCUUUUGAAACAACUGUUGAUGUCGAAGAAGGAAUGGAGGUCUGAAUGUUCUUCUAAUGUGUGACUAGAUUUCAUUUUUUUUCCUUUCUUCUAUACUUUAUUUUUGACUGUUGUUGUGACCCUUUGCCACAGAUUGACAGAGGAUAUAUCUCCCCACAGUUUGUUACAAACCCUGAGAAACUGAUUGCUGAAUUUGAGAAUGCAAGAGUGUUGGUCACUGAUCAGAAGAUCACAACGAUAAAGGACAUAAUUCCCCUGCUAGAGAAGACCACUCAGCUGAGAUCUCCUCUGCUUAUAGUUGCUGAGGAUGUCACUGGAGAAGCUUUGGCUACUCUUGUUGUGAACAAGCUCCGGGGAAUACUUAAUGUUGCUGCCAUCAAAGCCCCUGGUUUUGGUGAGAGGAGAAAGGCUCUCCUUCAAGAUAUUGCUAUUAUGACAGGUACUGAUGUUCUCUGGAACAUAAUGUGCUUAAAGUGUGAUUAUUAUUUUACUUUGUACGCAUGAGCUUCUGCUGUUUCCAUAUCCUUAAGUGUGCUGUGGUUAGACUAUUUACUGUUAUUUACCUUGGAUCAUGGAUACUUCAUGUGGUCUUUGGAUGACAUAUUAUUAAAAUGGUCAUCUGGCAUUUUCUGGUAGAAUGAGAAAUUUAGUAAAAGAGGUUGUAAAAUGCUGAGUUUCUUAGAACAAUUUUUUUUUUUGUUUCAAAAAGGUGUUGAUACUAGAGGACCUUUUCAAUUGAAGCUCAUUGAUUAUAGAGAACCUGCCAAAGUGACUUAAUUGUUUCCCUUAUUCAAGAAAUCUGCAUAUCAUGAGAAGCCACACAAUCUUAACUUAUCAGACUGAUAUGAAUGCAUUUCAUUUUGUUUUUACUUGGUGGGCUGAUCUUAUUCCUUUCAAUGUUUAGGAGCUGAGUUUCAGGCCAAUGAUCUGGGUUUGCUUAUUGAGAAUACCUCAGUUGAGCAGCUUGGUUUGGCAAGGAAGGUGACCAUUACCAAGGACUCAACCACCAUCAUUGCUGAUGCUGCAUCAAAGGAUGAGAUACAGGCUAGGAUUGCUCAGAUAAAAAAAGAGUUGGCUGAGACAGAUUCCGUUUAUGAUACAGAAAAACUGGCUGAGAGAAUUGCCAAAUUGUCAGGUGGGGUUGCUGUUAUAAAGGUGGGGGCUGCAACAGAAACAGAGCUUGAGGACCGUAAGCUUCGUAUUGAGGAUGCUAAGAAUGCAACUUUUGCUGCCAUAGAGGAAGGGAUAGUGCCUGGUGGUGGUGCUGCAUUCGUUCACCUGUCAACUUAUGUCCCUGCAAUUAAGGACAAGCUCGAAGAUGCAGAUGAACGUCUUGGUGCUGACAUUGUGCAGAAGGUAACAAUUGUAAAAUCUUUGUUCCUAUCAGGCAUUUUAGGAAGGGCAUGCUCUAGCUAGCAGCAUUAAACUGAACUUAAAUUAGCUUGUCCAACAAUUCAAUCUGUUGAAAUAUGGACUUUGAUGGUAGUAAAUCAUUUUCAUGACACCAAACAAGGACUUUAGUAAUUGACCAUGUCUUGUUCUGCUUGUUUUUGGGAGAUGGAGCUGAACCAAUCUGUUCCAUGCAGGCACUGGUGGCACCAGCAUCAUUGAUAGCCCACAAUGCUGGAGUUGAAGGAGAGGUGGUUGUAGAGAAGAUAAAGGCUUGUGAAUGGGCAGUCGGGUACAAUGCAAUGACAGACAAAUACGAAAACCUGGUGGAGGCUGGAGUCAUUGACCCUGCCAAGGUUGCCAGAUGUGCUUUGCAGAACGCAGCAUCGGUUGCAGGAAUGGUCCUGACCACACAAGCCAUUGUUGUGGAAAAGGCCAAGCCAAAGGCACCUGUGGCUGCUCCCCCACAAGGUCUUACCAUAUGAUUGCUAGUAUUUCUUAGCCCUAGUUAGGAUUUCAGAGAUGAGGGUUUUCCAGGGGAGUGAAUCUGCGAAAAGAAAUGCUGGAAAAAAAUCUGCUCUGUUUGAGGCAAAUGGGGCCUUUUUUGUACGGAUUUAGACAUUGAUUAUCUGUUUUAAUAUGGUAGUAGCAGGUAUAGAACUUUGUUAAUAGCUUUUGCAUCAUAAAAUCCACCCUGGUUGUGUCCUUUAUUAUUGGUCAUUUUGGUUUUCUCUUUCAUGUGUCUGGCCUGGUAGAGGGUUCAACUUAAACCGAAUGGUAGUGAAUGCAUAUGGGCUGGCGGCACUGCAUACUGACAAACUAAAUUACUGUUAAAGAUGGCUUCGGUAUUAUUUUUCACAGGAGGCACAGAAGGCGGAAAAUGUAGCUAUGAUAUUUGAUAUCAUACUUCUUUCAUUUUUUUUUUUGAAAACACCUAUUUUCCUAGGAUUAUUUUUUGAAGAAUUGAAAUUUUUGGUGAGUGAUAUCUGCCUAACGAAGAACCUGGUGUGGCUUGCUUAACGCAACAUGUGGCUCCUCCUUUAAUCCUUUCAAGAGUCUCAGAUUCUUAUUUAAUAAGCAACUUACCCAGCCUACUGUCUGGACUUCUACAAGCUAUUCAUGGACCUCCCAAGAAGAUACACAUGGAAACGCCCUAAUGGCCGCCUAUGUCAGCCAAAUUUUGUGUAUGUUAUAGUGAAGGUUCGGUCCUUCAGAGCAAGCACUAAAAUAUUGGAAAUCUUAUAUAUAUAUAUAUAUAUAUCAGUCCAUGGAUUUUAUGGAAAUAUUGGAUGAAAAUUUGGAAAAAAAAUAAAAUUGAUCAAUAUUCACAUAAAGGUUUAAAAAAACUAUAAGAAAUUUAAAAAAAAUAAAAAAUAAUAAUACAUAUAUUAAAAUUGUUUUAUUGAUAAAAAUAAUAUACAUAUAUAAUAAUUUGUGACAUUUAAAAAUAAUAUAAAAUUUUCUAAAACACUUUCAAUACUAAAGUGAUGAUAUGUUUCAUAUACAAGAUAUAAAAAAUUAUAUAUGUAUGCAUUUUUUGAGUUAAAAAAUAUUAAUAUUUUUUUUACAAGUUUAUAUUUCUCUUGUAUCUAAUUAAUAUAUAAAAUAUAUAAAGAAGAAUCGUUAAUAAGAUUAUUAUUAUGUUUAUGUAUUUUAAAUUAAAUAGAAUUUGAAAAAUAAAAUAAUUAAAAUUAAUUUAACUUAAGAUAAAAUUUAGGGGGACAAAUAAUUUCUCUCUCCCUCUCUUUCUCUAUAUAUAUAUAUAUUAGAAGCUAAAGUGGCUUCAUUAGUCAUUGGUUAGCAGCACAUUGUGCACAGUGGAGACUGUUAAUUAUAAGCACUCGUUGAGCAUGUAAUUCAUAAAUAAACACUUUAUGGAUAUAAUCAUGCAUGACAGAGAUACUAUCUCCGAAGAGGACGUUAAGAUACCUUCAAAUUGAAAGAAUUUGAACAAAAGGAUGUCUAUGGGUAGAACAAGUUUAUUUAAUUCUAGUACAAGUGUCUUUCUAGUUAUUAUGAGUAACUCAUGUGAUGAGCGGAACUUUAAUUCAAUGUGCUCCUAUCAUAUAUUUGAUUUAGUAUCUACCAACUUAUAGAUUGUGGGAAGGUUCUUAUAGGAAAUAAUAGGCUAUUAAGAUAGAAAUGAUUUGAAUUACAAUACAUGAUGGUUUCAUAAUGGCAAUGAUUAAUGUAAUACAUGUUUUAGAGUUUAAGAAAAAUUUGGUUUCUUUGAGUACACUUGACUCUAAUGGAUGCGCUUAUAAAUUGGAGGUGGAGUUACUAGAAUUCCAAAAGAGUAAAAAGUUAAUGUUUUUAUACAUUAUCAAGUAGCAUAAUUAUAGGUUUGCAAUUACAAUUACAAUUUCAACCUUAAAAUUAAUAUUAGAGACUACUAGAUUGUGACAUAUGCGACUUGGGCAUGUAAGUGCAAGAGGAAUAACAAUUUGAGCAAACAAGAUUUGCUUGAUGGAUAGAAAAUGUGAGAGCUGGAUUUUGUAAGCAUUGUGUGUUUAAGAAAUAAUGUAAGGUUAAAUUCAAUUUGAUCAUUCAUAAGACUAGAGGUAUUUUGAAUUACAUUUAUUUAUAUUUUUGUGGCUCUCCUUGAGUUAUAUCAAAGAUAAUGGAAGAUAUGCAUCGACUUUUAUAGAUGAUUACUUUGGAAAGUUUUGAGUAUAUAUCUUGAAGAAUAAGAAUGAUGAUUUUGAGAAGUUCAAAUAAUGAAAAAUCAUGAUUAAGAAGCAGAAAAGAAAAUAGAUUAAGCACUUGAGAACUGACAAUGAAAAUGGACAAAAAUAAAGAGAAUUCUAUUGAAAAUUGUUUAAUAAAUUCCACAUGAAUGAAGGUAUUGCACGAUAUUGUAUAGUUCUGCAUACUCUGAAGUAAAAUGGUAUGACAAAAUAAACGAGUAUAACUCUUUUAUAUAAACAUGAUGUAUGAUUUCAAAUAUAGGGUUGUUGAAGAAAUUUUGGGCUUAAGUAGUUAAAUCAAUUUUGUCAUUUUAUGAAUAGAUUUCCUUCAAUAUCUAUUCAUUGUAGGACUCAUCAAAAGGUAUGGUUUAGUUUUUUUGUUAAUUAUACAAAUUUAAGAAUUUUUUGUUGUCUUGCUUAUGCUUAUAUAAAUGAAGGCAUGCAAGAUGGAAUCAAAUGUUAGAAAGAACAUUUGUAGGGUAUAUAGAUGGUCUAAAAACUAAAAAGGUAUAAGUUGUGGUAUCUAUAUUCAAAAUCCUUUGAAUUUGUUAUUAACACUUAAAGCUUUAAGAAUAAUAAAAAGGAAACCUUUUGUAAAACCAAAUGAGAAAGAGAUGUAACAUCAUAAUAAUAAAGAAAAUACACCACUAAGUAACAAUACGACUUGGAUAAGGAAUAAAGAAAACCACCACAUGCUAGUAAUGAUUUUAUUGUUUAUGCACUUAGAGUGACUACACAAGUAAUUUAAAAGAUCACUUAAGUAGAGAGCACAAUAAAUACGAACAUUAAGUUUAUUUCUGCAUUUAAAUUUAAGGAUUAUCUUAACUUAAUUGAUGACUUUAAUCCCCAGAGACCCUUUAUAGAUGUGGGAGCAAUGUGAUAGAGAAGACUUUCUAAUUUGUUUGAAACUUAAGGGAUUUAAGCCAAGAUGAAGGUCAUUAAAAAUUAUUUCAAAAACUUUUUUUUAAGUCGAUUUGUAAGUUUUUAACAUUUUUCUAUAAGAAUAUAUUUUUGGAAGGGACUUUCCUAAGAAAUAUCCUAUCAUAAAAAUUUGUUAUGAUAAUAUAUACUAUUAAUAUUCAAUUUCUUAUAUGAAAAAAAAAAUUGAUUGAAAAGGAGUUAAUAAAUUUUGAUAAUUCAAGGUUUUAAAAAAUCAUUAUUUUUUUAAUACAAACCUUUAACAAUUCUUUCAACCUAUAUAAAAGUUACUGUUAUUAUAAAUCUUUAAAAUAGAUGUUUUUUUACAUUAAAACAUUAUGUGUUCUAUUUCCCAAUGUACAACCACUUCAAUAUCAAAGUUGCACUAGAAACAAUAUUUUGAAAAACAAACUUACGCAAAACAUUAGCUUUAAAAUCUUGGAGAAGUGUUCUAUUAAGAUGAUAGUUUUAAAAAUUUUCCUCCUGUUUUAUGCAAAUAAAAUCUUAUUAAAUACGACGAACAAAAAGGAGAUUUAUCCCAUAUACAUAGGGAGACAUGUAAAAGAUACUAACUAUGCUAUGUACCUUAUUCCCGAGGAAGGUGUGGAUCCCGCAUUUCGGCUCAUGCGUUUCCCACUUGAUGGCGAGCUCGAUUUUUAUUUGAAAAAUUAUGAUUUUUAUUUAUUAAGAAAAAUGACUUGGAGUCGCCACUUAUUUUUGUUUUAUUUUUUGAAGGGUAAACAAAAUAAGAAAGAAAACCCUAAGUGUGACUCCUUAUUUGGAAAAGACGGUCUGUGAAAAAUCGGAUCGGGUUCGGGGGUCAGGUUACUUAUCGGGAAGGUACGGUAAAGACCGUAGCACCCCUUUAAGUCCCUAAAGACGGGCCUCUACUAAUAAAAUGAAGUUGACAUGGCAAUUGAUAAGGAAAUCAAUGAAUACCCGGAACUAUCAUACACAUAUAAGAAUCAAAAUAUGCAUAGAGAAUAACCAAAGUGGAAGUGGGUGCGUACCUGGUCAGCAAACGGCAACGCGCUAUCACAAAAUAGGGUUAGUGCAUAGUAAUGAACAUAAAGUAUGUCACUCAUAUCAUCAAAUAGAAAGAAUCACCAAUAGCACGCAUGACAUUUCAUUCAAAUUCAUUUUAUUUUGAAGAAAAUUUAUUGAUGUAAGGCCCUCACCAAAGCCUGUUUAUUUUGCAUGAAUUAAUUCUGUGAACUCCAUCACUCGGAAUUACAGAAUUUAAAUUCAUGCUUAUUUUAAAACAUUUUAAAAACAUGAAAAAUUCGAAAGUUGCUCGCCGAAAAGAAAAUGGCGGCCCAAAUUUGUUGAAAAUGGGAUCUUGGGAACCCCAAGAAAAUGCUCUAAGGAUGGAGAAAAAGGUGGAACGUCGGCCGGACAGAAUUUCGGAUGCUAGAUAUCCGGAGAAGGUUGAACGUCGACGGACAGGAUUCCGGAUGUGAGAUAUCCGGAGAAGGUGGAACGUCGGCUGGGUAGAAUUUCAGAUGUGAGAUAUCCGGGUGGAAUGUCGGCGGAGAAGAAUUCCGGAUGUGAGAUAUCCGGGUGGAAUGUCGGCGGGGAAGAAUUCCGGAUGUGAUACAUUCGGGUGGAAUGUCGGGGGAGAAGAAUUCCGGAUGUGAUACAUCCGAAUAAGGCAGAACGUUGGCAGGGCAGGAUCCGAAUGUGAGACAUCUGGGUGGAAUGGCGGCGGAGAGGAAUUCCGGAUGUGAGACAUCCGGAUAAGGUAGAACGUUGGCCGAGCAGGAUUCCGGAUGUGAGACAUCCGGAUGGAAUGGCGGCGGAGAGGAAUUCCGGAUGUGAGACAUCCGGAUAAAGUAGAACGUUGGCCGGGCAGAAUUCCGGAUAUGAGACAUCCGGGUGGAAUGGCGGCGGAGAGGAAUUUCGGAUGUGAGACAUCCAGAUAAGGUAGAACGUUGGCCGGGCAGAAUUCUGGAUGUGAGACAUCUGGGUGGAGUGAGCGAUGAUUUCCGUUCGGGUGGAAUGAGCUAUGCCACGCUUCGCAAGGGGGCCGCCUGCUUGCACAAGGAAGAGAGAGAGCCACGUGUCAUUUUUUUAGGGAAGAUCCCACAAGUAGGUGAAAGUUUAGAGAGAGAAACGGGUUUGGUGGGUCGUAUGGAUAUGGAGGCUUGGGUGAGUGGUUUUAAUGGGUAUGCGAAAUAGUAAAGGAUAGCAUGCACCCGUGAGACUCCAUGUAAGUGGGGAAGUGGGAUGGAGAAUGAAUGAGAGGAAAAUAGGUGUAGUGGAGGAUGCCUGAUUCCUGCAAGCUUGAAUGAGGAAAUGAGUAUGACGACCUAAAGAGAGAGGUGUAUAGAUGAACGAUGGGUAUGGUGGAUAAAGGAAAAGAACAUGGGGAUGAGAUGACGACACGCUUGCAUGAGAAUAGAAAUAAUAGGAUAGCAACAAGAAGAAGAACAUGAAGACUUUAACCAGCAUAUCGGACCCAUUUCAUCGUUUCAUCCAUGGGUCCAACAUCCAGUGAGUUAUGAUGGAAAACACUUGUCAGAAUAGGGCAUAAAACACAGCAAACUCUUUCAAUAUUUAAUCAGUAAUCACCCAAAACAGAACAACCCAACAAGCAGACAUGAAAAAUCACUAACAAUCAGACCUGGACAAUAUGAAAAAAAAUGGAAAAUAUACACAAAAAAACAAAUGGUCAUACCUGGAAAUCUCCCUUCUUACCUCCGUGUCCUGGACUUUUGCCAGCAACUCUACACUCCUCUGUUCUUAGCUUCCUACUGUAGUUCAACCCAUACCUUUUUUCUCAAAACUCUCAGAAAAACUCCUCACAUUUUUCUUUUGUUUCAUUUCCACUCUCUUUUCUCUGUAUCUCGGAUUUGCCUUCCCCCCCCCCCCCCCCCCCCAAAUGCUCUCUCUUUUCUUUUCUCUUUUUCUUCUUUUCCUGUAUCUCGGAUUUGCCUUCCCAGUGAUCUCUGUCGCAGCCACCUUUUUUUCCUGCCACACUCCUUCUGCAGCCACCUUUUCUGCCUGCGGGACCCCCCCUCCAGAAAGUUCUUCCACAUGUCAAAGUCCUAUUGCAGCUUCAAAAAGCGAGGUUGAUUCCUUAUGGUCAUUAAGGAUGUGACACGUGGCUAAAAUGUGAUCUGCAAAAACAAAUAGAGAAAAAGUGACCCAUGCCUAAAUGGGGGUCUACAGAAGGGCAUUUAGGUUUGUUCUUUUCUUGGUGGUAAUGGAAAAAUUAUAUUCCGUAAAACAAAAAGAAAUAAAUUUUAUAUUAGCAAGUAUCAAGGAUAAAAUUAUUGGUUUUGAUAUAUAUAUCAAUAAUUCGAGUUUAUGGAUAUAUUGAGAUAUAUUAAAAAAUAUAGUAGGAUAUUUUGAUAAAAAAUAUCAAUAACAUAAAAAUUAAUGAAAACUCAUGAAAAUAUUAUGAAAAACUCUAUACAUAUGUGUAAGCUUAUUUUUUAGGUUUGACCAUGUUUGACCAACAAUAGCUAUUGUUUGUCCAAGUUAGCCCCUUGUUGACCAAAUCAAAAUAAGCCCAAAAAUUGAUGAAAAAAAAAAUCGAUAAUUCUUGAAAUAUAUCCAAAAAAUCACUAAAUCGAUAUUUCCCCAUGAUGUUUUGCUUCAAUGACAACCAAAUCAAGAUUUUGACGAAAUAUCAUUGAAAAAUCAUGAUUUUUUUCAUCUUGAGUUGAUCUCAUUUUUAUGGGCAAAUGCACCCAUAUUUGUUCAUCAUUUAAAGGCCCUAUUCCUCCAAAAUUUCCUUUAUUCAUUUUGUCUUCCUUUAUAGGCUUAUCCAUUUUUUUUUAUUAAAUAAAUAUAAGAAUUUGAAUAUUACUAAGACAAGAAACCCAUUAUUAUGUCUCCACACCAAAGUUAAAUACGGUACUUAAAUAAUUUUUUUCAAUCAUAAAAUGUCUAUUGGCACAUACAAAACAUUUAGUUUUAUGAUGUAAUCUCAUUGUGCAUAAAAUCAAUACAUUGUGUGUUUGUAAUAAAUACAAACGGAUCGUUUAUUAAGAUAAGAUAAUAUUUUUAUGAAUUUGAUUGUAUGAUAUCUCAUAUCACAUAAAAGAAAAGCUUUUUAGCAUUAUAUAGAGUAAAUUUCUAUUUAAUCAUGAGGGUGCAUUUAUAAGUCACACUAAUCUUAAGUCAUAAAGGAGAUAAAUGGUAUUAAAAUCAAUCCUAAGCCUCGAGAUUCAAAAUAUUUAAUCAUUAGGGAGUCAACCCAAUUCCUUAAUUCUAUGGAUUCCUUUUUAAGUUUUACUAUUAUGGGUAUUACAAAUAGUAUCAAAGUCAAUUCUUAUCCCGGAUUCAAAAUUGAAAAUAUUUACAUAGAAAGGGAUCCAAUCAAAACACGUGGAAUUCAUUUGGUUGCCAAGAAAAUAUCAUAAAAUAAGAAAGAAACCUAAAAUUUCUUUUACAAUCGGAGGGUCACACCCUUUUUAACGGGUUGGGCUUUUGGGCCACCACUGAGUUAGGUGACACUGCCCAAGCCCAAUCCAGCAUAACAUGAUUAGCCAACCACAGCCCAUUGUUCAAAGGUGACUGGACCCGCAAUCUAAUAAGUCCAAAAUUGCCUGCAGUAAGAGAGAAAAUGAGAUGAUCACAUUGUUCACAUGCCUACCAAACUACACGGUCCCUGCAAAAUGGAAGAAGACCAUCAUCAGCAGUCAACAGUCAACACUCCCAAAUUUAAAUUUCCCAUUUCUUAUUCAUUAGGAUCUCCGAAAGCAAUAUAAAUUAUCAUAGAAAAAUUGAAAAUUGUUUUUUAAUCAUUUAUUAUUUAUAAAAACAAGAAUAAGAUCUUCACCACCAUCUAAAUUAAAAUUCAUUUUUUUUAAAUCAAAAUUUAAUGUUCAUAUUUUUUUUAAUUUACUUUUAUCUUAAGGUAUUGAACUACCAUAAAUUACAGAUAAAUGACUCAAACCUAUGACCUCUCACUAAACCAAAUUCUAAUAUCAUAUCAAACCAUCAAUUUUCAACUUAAACUAAUAUGAUUUGAAUUCAGCAUGUAUAUUACGUUGGUUUAAGAUUUUCAAAACCAAAAUUACGAUCUUAUUUUCCGUGAAGAAACUCUGCACACUAAUGUACAACAUAGGAUCUUUCAAAAUGUUCUUCAUGUUUUCAAUUAUGUUUAUGGUAAAAAAAAUAUCAAAAAUAUUUCAAAUUUAUUCUAAAAUAUAACUUACUUUCUAAGCCCCAUAUUUUUUAGAAUAGUACAACGUGACUCUUGACUCUUGAGGGGCAUGUGGGAGCAAGUUAUGAUGUUCAACAACAUGAAAGAAAUUAAAGCAUUUGUGGGAUGAAUAGACCUCAGUGUGUUAGGAAAAGGACUGAAACGUGGGCGUGGCCGAAAAUGUCGUUGUGGACCCUCUGAGAGACUACAUCAAACUUGAACCAAUCUAGGUGCCUCACCUCACCGACCACAUUGAUGUCUUUGAAUAUGAUUGCUAGUGGAUUCGAUUAUUUUAGAAUCUGUGUUGUGGAUGUGGAAUCAUUUCUUCCCCAAUCAUUCCUCUGCCCUACAAAUUUUUCUUAUUGUAAUUGGAGCCGAGAAAAUGUUUUGGAGAGAAUGAUUGACACGUGGAAAAUGAGACAUCAUAAUCUCUUAUUAAUAUUUGUCAUUAUAUUCUGAGUAUAAUAAAACGAUUUCUGGUUAAUCAUCAUGUGAUUCUACAAAAAUCUAUGCCCUUCCUCACAGGCCCAUCCUUUGGAUUAUUCUUUAUAUUCCGUUCAAUUAUUAAAGAAAAAAAAAACGUUACGUUUGGAAUUAUUUUCCAUAAUAAUUUUUUUCUUUUUUAUAAAUAAAUAUGAAAAUAUGCUUUGAUUCUUCUUAAGAGAAUAGAGUCUUUUUAGGGAAUAUAUAUUUUUUUAAUGUUUUGAGUUGUUUUUCACUGGAAGAUUGUUUUAAAAAAAUAUGGUUAAUGGUCAGAAAAGAUCAUUAUAAAUAAAAGUCAUUUUUUAAAAAUUUGUAAAUAUAAAACACUAGUUGAGAAUAUUUUCAAUUCUCAAAUAAAAUUUUCUUUUCAAAAAUAUCAUAGAACGGCUUUUGAAAAUUAUUUUAAAAUACUCUUUCUAUUAAAAUUGUUUUUUUUUAAAAAAGGUUCUAAAAUAAACUAUGAAGGGCUAAAUUGAUGUUUAUUAAAGUAAAUAUAAGAAGAGAAAGAAAUUAUGAAAUAGUCUCGAACUUUCAUUGAUAAAGUCUCUUUACAAUAUAUACUUGUUUUGAGUAAUCAAACUAAAACUACAAAAUAUAAGAAAAAAAAACUAAAUUAACUAAAAUAAAAUAUAUAUACACUAUCAAAAUAAGAAAAAAAAAAUGAUAUAUACACUAAUUAUAGUCUUAUGAUUUUCAUAUUUGAUUGAAAUUAUUUUGCUCAUUACUUAUCACAUUUCAAAUUUGAAUAGUUGAAAAUAUAUGAUAAAAUUUGAAUCGUUAAACAAUUGUCUAAUAAAAUAAAAUCAAAUUAUAAAUUAUGAGAUUAAAGUACAAAUAAUUGGGAUCAAAAUGCACAACAAAAAAAAAAAAAAAGGAAACCCAUAUAUGGUAUAAAUAAAUAAAAUUUGGGUAUAAAAUCAUUGAAUACUCUAGUAUCGAUAAAGAUAAAGUAAGGAAGCAACUAAUAAAAUAAUUUUGUCCAUUAAAAACACGUAAAAAAGCCUAUACUUUAAUUGAUUCAAAAAGUUAAUAGAAGCAACCCUGGCCCUUAAUUGUGCUUUUGAGCCAUGGAUUGAAAUGCCAAGAUUUUCAAAAGGAAAUAUUUACAAGUAUUCACACCAAAGUCCUUUAGAAUUAUGCUUUUCCAAAGGCAUUGUCAUAUUUAGAAGUCAAGGAAACGAAAAAAGAUCAUUAGAAGCAACAAGCAUAAAUGAAUUGAUUCGAUGCCUAAAUAGACGUACAUUUUUGGUAAAGAAAAAUUUGAAUAGGCGUAUAUAACUGAUCUACUUGGGAGCACCAUCCUUGACUACGAGGACAUGUCUCCUGCAACACGUCUUUUUGGUUCAAAGUCUCUUCUUUUGUGCAAUUCCAAUUGGCCAUCACACCCAGCCCGUGGCACUUUAUGGCUUUGCUUGAUCUCCUUACACUAAAAAAUAUAUAUACAAGGGAAGUGGGUGCCCAUUUUGUGAACGGUGCCUCAUAUUCCAUAUUUCCUCCAUUGACAUUUGUCUUGUAACUUUUCCUACCUUUAAAUACCCAUAGUUUGGUUAUGAUCUUUUCUUAUAUUCUAGUGCCGGCUCUUUUGACUUUUGGAGGAUGUAUAACGAUAAAAGAAUGAACAAGUAAAUUUAAACUAUGAUUUGAGAGGAAUGCCAGCCUCCCAAAUUCCACUUGUUUUAAGAAUUCAAUCUCCUUUUUCUUGUCGAUAUCUACAAUUUGAUAUCAACUUUUCCCCUGGAA
rnacentral:lncRNA from 1 species